AUCUAAGGAAAAGACAAAAGUGCUGUCCAUUCUUUUCUGCUGGAAAUGGCCAAAGCCCUGAAUACAAAAACCUGCUUUACAAGCAAUGCUGCAAGGAGUUCUUCAAGCUGAUAUGAAAGGAUGCUAAUUAAUAACAAAAACAUAUGAAAAUAUAAAGCACACUGGUAAAGGUCAUGAUCUCAUGGUUCUUGAGUUCGAGCCCCACAUCAGGAUCUGUGCUGACUGUGCGGAGCCUGCUUGGGAUUCUCUCUCCCCUCUCUCUGCUCCUCCCCAACUCGUGCUUUCUCUCUCUCAAAAUAAAUAAACUUAAAAAAAUUAAAACAAAA